rnacentral:lncRNA from 1 species
GUUGAACUGCAAUUGAUAUGAGAAGGGAUUACAUAAAAUUGUUAACAUAGCAUGAAAAUCAUGAAUGAAUACAUGAAAUAUGAAUUAAUCUGUUAGACUAUUUUAUCUAUUUCUAUUGUCCCCACCCUGUCUGAAAAGAUGUGAGAUGACCACUCCCUGUGAACGAAGGCGCAAAAGUGCAUAAGAGAUCCUAGGACCACUGUGGUGAAGUACAGUCGUCGUCAUAAAUUGUGUUAUGGUGUGGCUAGUAGUAAAUCAACUAUGGUUUGACGAGUCGUAAAUUAGCUAUGGUGUAGCAAGCUGUAAAUCUACUAUGGUUGAGCAAGCUGUAAGUUACCGAUAGAGUCACCGCAUUGGUAGUUGGGAGUCCGUAUUAGCCAGUAGAUAAAAAGCUGUAACGAACUUC